rnacentral:rRNA from 1 species
AGCCGCCGCGGUAAUACGGAGGAUUCAAGCGUUAUCCGGAAUCAUUGGGUUUAAAGGGUCCGUAGGCGGUCUUGUAAGUCAGUGGUGAAAGCCCAUCGCUCAACGGUGGAACGGCCAUUGAUACUGCAGGACUUGAAUUAUUGGGAAGUAACUAGAAUAUGUAGUGUAGCGGUGAAAUGCUUAGAGAUUACAUGGAAUACCAAUUGCGAAGGCAGGUUACUACCAAUUGAUUGACGCUGAUGGACGAAAGCGUGGGUAGCGAACAGGAUUAGAUACCCGAGUAGUCCCUGUCUCUUAUACA